rnacentral:rRNA from 3 species
GCAAGUCGAACGAACUCUGGUAUUGAUUGGUGCUUGCAUCAUGAUUUACAUUUGAGUGAGUGGCGAACUGGUGAGUAACACGUGGGAAACCUGCCCAGAAGCGGGGGAUAACACCUGGAAACAGAUGCUAAUACCGCAUAACAACUUGGACCGCAUGGUCCGAGUUUGAAAGAUGGCUUCGGCUAUCACUUUUGGAUGGUCCCGCGGCGUAUUAGCUAGAUGGUGAGGUAACGGCUCACCAUGGCAAUGAUACGUAGCCGACCUGAGAGGGUAAUCGGCCACAUUGGGACUGAGACACGGCCCAAACUCCUACGGGAGGCAGCAGUAGGGAAUCUUCCACAAUGGACGAAAGUCUGAUGGAGCAACGCCGCGUGAGUGAAGAAGGGUUUCGGCUCGUAAAACUCUGUUGUUAAAGAAGAACAUAUCUGAGAGUAACUGUUCAGGUAUUGACGGUAUUUAACCAGAAAGCCACGGCUAACUACGUGCCAGCAGCCGCGGUAAUACGUAGGUGGCAAGCGUUGUCCGGAUUUAUUGGGCGUAAAGCGAGCGCAGGCGGUUUUUUAAGUCUGAUGUGAAAGCCUUCGGCUCAACCGAAGAAGUGCAUCGGAAACUGGGAAACUUGAGUGCAGAAGAGGACAGUGGAACUCCAUGUGUAGCGGUGAAAUGCGUAGAUAUAUGGAAGAACACCAGUGGCGAAGGCGGCUGUCUGGUCUGUAACUGACGCUGAGGCUCGAAAGUAUGGGUAGCAAACAGGAUUAGAUACCCUGGUAGUCCAUACCGUAAACGAUGAAUGCUAAGUGUUGGAGGGUUUCCGCCCUUCAGUGCUGCAGCUAACGCAUUAAGCAUUCCGCCUGGGGAGUACGGCCGCAAGGCUGAAACUCAAAGGAAUUGACGGGGGCCCGCACAAGCGGUGGAGCAUGUGGUUUAAUUCGAAGCUACGCGAAGAACCUUACCAGGUCUUGACAUACUAUGCAAAUCUAAGAGAUUAGACGUUCCCUUCGGGGACAUGGAUACAGGUGGUGCAUGGUUGUCGUCAGCUCGUGUCGUGAGAUGUUGGGUUAAGUCCCGCAACGAGCGCAACCCUUAUUAUCAGUUGCCAGCAUUAAGUUGGGCACUCUGGUGAGACUGCCGGUGACAAACCGGAGGAAGGUGGGGAUGACGUCAAAUCAUCAUGCCCCUUAUGACCUGGGCUACACACGUGCUACAAUGGAUGGUACAACGAGUUGCGAACUCGCGAGAGUAAGCUAAUCUCUUAAAGCCAUUCUCAGUUCGGAUUGUAGGCUGCAACUCGCCUACAUGAAGUCGGAAUCGCUAGUAAUCGCGGAUCAGCAUGCCGCGGUGAAUACGUUCCCGGGCCUUGUACACACCGCCCGUCACACCAUGAGAGUUUGUAACACCCAAAGUCGGUGGGGUAACCUUUUAGGAACCAGCCGCCUAAGGUGGGACAGAUGAUUAGGGUG